UACAGAGGGUGCGAGCGUUGUUCGGAAUUACUGGGCGUAAAGGGCUCGUAGGUGGCCAACUAAGUCAGACGUGAAAUCCCUCAGCUCAACUGGGGAACUGCGUCUGAUACUGGAUGGCUUGAGUUUGGGAGAGGGAUGCGGAAUUCCAGGUGUAGCGGUGAAAUGCGUAGAUAUCUGGAGGAACACCGGUGGCGAAGGCGGCAUCCUGGGCCAGCACUGACACUGAGGAGCGAAAGCCAGGGGAGCAAACGGG
rnacentral:rRNA from 1 species